rnacentral:rRNA from 1 species
GGGAAUUCGAUUGAGUUUGAUCCUGGCUCAGAAUCAACGCCGGCGGCGUGCCUCAGACAUGCAAGUCGAGCGAUUAAAGCUCUCUUCGGAGAGUGCAUAGAGUGGCGCACGGGUGAGUAACACGUAAGUAAUCUACCCUCGAGUGGGGAAUAACAACCGGAAACGGUUGCUAAUACCGCAUAAUGCAGCGGCACCGCAAGGUGACAGUUGUUAAAGAUUCAUCGCUUGAGGAGGAGCUUGCGGCAGAUUAGCUAGUUGGUAAGGUAAUGGCUUACCAAGGCUACGAUCUGUAACCGGUCUAAGAGGACGGUCGGUCACACUGACACUGAAUAACGGGUCAGACUCCUACGGGAGGCAGCAGUCGGGAAUUUUGGGCAAUGGGCGAAAGCCUGACCCAGCAACGCCGCGUGAAGGAUGAAGUAUUUCGGUAUGUAAACUUCGAAAGAAUAG